UUAAAAAGCUCGUAGUUGGAUUUCUGUGGGGACGGGGCGGCCGGUCGCAACUUGCGACUCGAGCUAGCACUUUCCCCACAUCCUGCCGCGAACCGUGCUACCAUUAGUUUGGUGGCGCCGGGGAUCGGCUCGAUUACUUUGAGAAAAAUAGAGUGUUCAAAGCAGGCCACACGCCUUGAAUAAGUUAGCAUGGAAUAAUGACUAAGGACUUUGGUUCUUUUCGUUGGUGUUCGGGACUGAAGUAAUGAUUGAUAGGGACAGUUGGGGCGGUCUGUAUUCCAAAGCGAGAGGUGAAAUUCUUAGACCUUCGGAAGACAAACAGCUGCGAAAGCGUUCCGCGAGGAUGUUCCCUUUGAUCAAGAACGAAAGUUG
rnacentral:rRNA from 1 species